CGGGUCAUAGCGCAGUAUGGUAGCGCGCCUGGUUCGGGACCAGGAAGUCCCGGGUUCAAGUCCCGGUGACCCGA
rnacentral:tRNA from 1 species